UAGCCGAUGUAUCACGAAUUACAUUUUAUCUGUGAAAUGUAAAUAAAAAACAUCAGGUGAUAGUUGUAACUUCCUCCUUUAAAUGAUGAACUUCAGUUAAUGCGAUAAUGGACGAUAAGAAAACAUGACCUUAUCACUUUAUAUUUUAUUAAUUGUGGUCUCGAUGGGUGUGGCGAGGGCACAGGACUGCUCCAACUGCCUGUAUGAGGGGGAGCACUGCUAUGUCUACCCAGACACACACCAGUGUAUGUUUGGCUGUAAGCCAGGGUGGGUGGGGGACAACUGCCAACAGAGAUGCGACAGGAAGUGUGCAGAGUGCAGGCAGGUCAUGUCUUUACAGGAAUGCACAAGGUGCUCAGUCAUGGGAUAUUAUGGGCCAGAAUGCAACCUCCGCUGCAGUGAAAAUUGUCAGGGGUUUUAUAGCAAUGCUGCAACAUGCGAUUUUUAUGGCAACUGUAUCUAUGGUUGCAAGGAGCCAUGGUCCGGACGGACUUGCAGCGAACAAAACUGUACCAUACUUCAUUGCACGGAGUGUCGAAUGGCAGCACAGCAGUACAUCUAUUGCUACAAAUGUGAAGAAGGUUAUUUCUGGGAUAAUAAUCUUCUGUUAUGUAAGCCAUGCAGUGAUCAUUGCUCCCAGCCCUGCAGCCCCUAUUCCGGGCAUUGCAGUUGCAAGGCAGGCUGGAUUGGCAGCCUAUGUGACACGAGAUGCAACUUAGCCAGCUGUCUGAAUUGCACAGUUAACAGAGAAAAGGUUGAGUGUGCCGUGUGCGAGCUGGGGAAGUAUCCCAGCAACGGAAUAUGUGUAUCAUGCGAGGACCGAAACUGUAUUGGUCAUUGUAAUUCCAGUAGAGGUGACUGUCCUGAUGGCUGCAAGCCAGGAUGGUAUGGCAAGAAUUUUAAUUGCAAUCUAACCUGUGAUAUGGCCAAUUGUAACCAGUGCUCAUUGAGUUUCAGCGGUGCUGCAUUAUGCUUAAAAUGCAAGCCUGGUUUCUAUUUGUACAACAAAGCGUGUUUGAAGUGUCCGGACUACUGCAUUGACGGUUUGUGUAACGAUUUUAACGGUAACUGUAAAGAAUGCAUCAGCGGUUACUAUGGUGAAAAAUGCAGAUGGAGGUGUAGCGAUGGGUGCAUUGGCACCGUCUGUAAUAUUUCAGGGGAAUGCCAAUGCAGAGAAGAUUGGUAUGGACCUUAUUGUGAUCGAAAAUGUCCCUCUUACUGUACUGUUGAAAGCUGUAGGAACUAUAAUUCAACCCUUGGGUGUGUAGAAUGCGAACCUGGAAGAUACGGCUUAUACUGCCAGUCUAAAUGCCAUGAUAAUUGUCAGAUUGUAACUACCCAGAAUACCAGGUUUAAAUACUGCAUUAAGGAAAGCGGAGAAUGCCGGGAUGGGUGCAUAACCGGAUUUUAUGGAGGUGAUUGUUCUAUUCCUUGCACCUCUGGUUGUUAUGGGUCAUGUAACAGGUCUACGGGUGAAUGUGAAAGCGGUUGCACGCUGUCUACUUAUGGUAAAAGGUGUGAUUUGUCCUGUCCUAGUAACUGCCAGAGACCCCUAGCAGGAUAUCAACGAGCCUGUGAUAUGGUGACGGGGGCAUGUGAAAAUGGCUGCACAGUGGGUUUUACUGGACUGUUUUGUAACGAGUCGUGUGCAAAGAACUGUAGAGAUAAUACUUGCGAUCAAAAUGGGGACUGUGUCUUUGGCUGUAGAGAAGGGUACACUGGAAAGAACUGUGACUUGAUAUGCCAAAGAGAUUGCGGAGACAGUUGUUUCCCGAACUGUCUUAACGGCAUAUGCCACCUAAAAAGCAAGCUCUGUACUGCCGGCUGCUCUCUGGGCUGGUGGGGCGAGUCAUGCAACAUCAGCUGCAAGGCAGAAUGUCAGGAAGGGAAUUGCAGCCAGCACGAUGGGACCUGCCUGGGGCCAUGCCUGUCUGGAUAUUAUGGGGCCAAGUGUGACAGGAGGUGUAGUCCAUACUGUGUGAACAAAGUAUGCAACAAGAAUUCAGGGAGCUGUAAAGAUGGUUGUUCGGAACGGACGAUAUACGGCCCGGAGUGUGUGGACACAUGCUCCAAAGCCUGUCUGAACCAGGCAUGUGACCAGCUGACAGGGGCCUGUCUGGGAUGCCCUGCUGGAAAGCAAGGCAGUCUGUGUGAACAAGACUGUUUGCCAGGCUGGUAUGGCGAGAGCUGUGAGGACCAAUGUGGCAACUGCAAGGAUGGUAACCCCUGCAGUAUCCUGGACGGCACCUGUCCAGCAGGGGCGGGCUGUGAGGUUGGAUGGACUGGCUUGCAGUGCCAGCAAAAUCUCCUUGGACAAUCAUCUGCGCAGGCUGGUAGCAUGAAUAUGUCCAUUGGGGUCGGUGUGGGCGUGUCCUUGGCGGUGGUUGUCAUGGUGAUUGUUAUUGCCGUAUACUUUCUGUGGCGGCAGCGUACAGACAAAGCAAAGAGACACCAGUCUCGGGAACAUGUCGUUGUAUACAAGGACUCGACUGCUUCUAUUGAACAAGUACCCACCACAAGCAGUGCGGGGGUUCUGGCCACCGAUGCAGGGGAGAGUGACAGUGCCCGUAGUGACAACCUGUUACUGGGCACAGAUACACCAGUCAUACACGCCGACCUUGACUCGUGUUUCCAUGACAACGGAUUUUUCAAACUGUACAAGGGGAAGACAAAUAUGAAAGCUGGAAAAAGGGAGUGCUGUGUAAAAAUACAUAACUUAGAUGACACAAGACUUGACUCUAAGGACCACUGGACCCGCCUGAUGAACGAGUGCGAGCUUCAGAGGCUGUCCUGUGCCCACACCAACAUUGUGCAGCUCUUCAGCACCUACCAGAACAAGAAUUGGUUCAACAUAGCUCUGGAGCCAUGUAUGAGCAAAAACCUUCACAACUACUUGCUGACCAGCCCUCAGCCAGACAAGUCCCAAGAAAAGUCGUGUGUUUUCCGUCUUUUGCAAUACUGUAUGGAUGUCACGUCUGCUGUUAGUCAUCUGCACCAGUUGAAGAUAUUGCACCGACAGAUAGAGGCCAGUCAUGUCUAUCUGACGGCACAGAAUGUGGCCAAGCUGGGCGAUUUUUACUGGGCUAAACUGGUCACUGAUCAAAACUUUGAACUGGAGAGAUAUGUGCUGGAAUCGAGCUAUGCUUUACUGAGUCCAGAGACACUUCUCCACAACCAGUAUACCUUUCAGUCUGAUGUCUGGAGUCUUGGCCUGCUAUUCUGGGAGGUGUUAUCACUCGGGAAGACGCCCUACGAAGGACUGAGUCCAGAGAGACACAGGCGGACAGUUAUAGAAGGGGAUCGACCAUGUAGACCUUCGCUUGCCCAUAGCUAUGUGUACAGAUUGAUGACAAGUUGUUGGCAUUAUUCACCUACUGAUCGGCCAGACGUUGAAAAUGUCUUGAAGCAACUUUUGGAUAUUCAGCAACAAUCAGUGUCUGCUCCUGGUGUGGUAGACAGGGCUUCAAGGUCAUCUGAAGGUCAAGGCUACACAUCUGCAAAUUCUAAGCUGGGUACCCCUUCAAGCGGAUCUUCAAGCCCAACGAGGCCUAGUUCCAAUGGUGAAGACUAUGUGAGCAAUAAGGAUUUGGGUGCCCGAACAAUAAGCCAUUCAAGAACACAGCAGGGUGGUUCAAAGCUAGCAAACAAAGUUGGAAACCUAUUGAAUGGUUCACAUGUAGAGGACAGUGCAAGACGAGAUCCAAAGACACAGGCUGCAGAUUUUCAUGUGAAUUACCAGACUGAUGGUUCUUAUACCCAGCAUUACGAAAGAGAGAAAGAAAGUAUCACAGGAAACCAGACAGCUGGGUCCAGUUUGGAAAACAUGCCAAGAAAACAGCAUAUUGGUUCCUAUCCACAGAAAUAUCAUAUAAAGCACCAGACUGGUUCUCCAAUGGAGAACAUUCGAGGGAAAGGAUACCAGUCAUCUGAAUCCAAUGAAGAUAAGCAGAAACAAAAGAAUCAGACUGGUUCCAAUAUGGAGUACAGUCCUGGGAGCCAGAAGGCGGGUUCCCCUCAAAACCAUAAUUCAGACAUUAGAAGGGAAGAAAAGAAGCUGGCUUCUAUCAUUGAGACAGAAAUUUGAAAUAAAUAAACAUAGAAAGAUAUUUAUUCGAUCAUGGCUGCAAAGUAGACAGUCAUGCUGGUCAUACAGAUGGCAAAAAGUAAAACUUAUUUGAGCUUAUACUGCAGUAAUUUUUGGCUUGACUAUACCUAUCUGGUGUGGGUUUCUCUGUUGCCACCUGCCUAAUGAAAGUGAAUGUAGUUAUUUAAUAAGAUUGAAAGAAGAGUCGUGCAUGCUAUGUACCGGGUAUGACCUAAAAAUGCACAUACAAUGUACCAUGUCAAUCAGGCACUUGCCUAUAAAGUCUUUAAUAACUUUUUUAAUAUUGAUUAUGAAUCUUCAGGAUUUAUACCGAGUUUAAUUAGAUAUUAGUAGAUCAUCCUGCAUGUAAGAAAAUUUGUCUAAUAAGGAUGGUAAAUGUACCAAACAUUCAAAAGUUCAGACAAAAUCAUAGAAAAAUCAGCCAUUGGUGACUAUUUUGAACACCAGUUAGUAUUUUUCUCGCGCUCUAACAGUUACUUGCGUAUGAUCUACUCCAUGGCUAAGGUGACAUUCAGACAGUUUGUGCUGACAUAUUUGGAGAAACUGCGCUGUGGUAUAAACUUACCAUUACUUACACUAUAUUGGAUAAGCAAACAAGCACAUUAUAAUGAUUUCAUUUCUUUUAUUUUCAACAUGUUUUCACCACGAUUUUCAGCCAUUAUGUUUUGUUUAUAUUAAAAAAGGCAGGAUAAAGUCGGAAAAGCAUGUGAUUAAUAGAAAACCUGAUGAUCUGUAUUGAUGAGAGAUACAAAAACAGUGCCAUACAAAUUGAACCACUUCUUUAUGCUCAGAUUACGAGUUUUAUACGCCUUGCUAUUAUGAUAAUUUUAUCUGGUAUUCUAUAAUGGGUAUAUUAAUAUUUUUGCCAAAAUGUUUGUGUUAACGUUCAGCAUGACAUUGUUAAGUAAAUGUUACGAAACCAGAAACAAAAUCUCAAUGAUAUUCUAUCAUCAUUAUGGUUAUGGUAAGAAUGUCAUUAAAAUUGUUAAUAAUAAUUCAUGACGUUCAAAUACUUUUUCAUCUUUUCUAAAGCAAAAACUAUUUUAACAUAAUGCAUAAAUCUUCUACAGGUUAAGUAGUGAUUUAAUGCCUAACCAUUUUACCAUGUUUAUCAUGAAAUAAUUAGGUGUUUUCAUGUACUUAAUAACAAUCUUUGAGGUGCUGUCAUACGUCCUCGUGUUUUACCUACUAACGAGAAAAACAAGGGCAUUGCAAAUUCAACAACAUUUGAACUUUCAUUUGUAAGCAUAAUUCCGAUUUUUUGUACUUGUGCGUUUGGGUAUGUCAUUAUGUCUGCCUUUAUUUGAUAUUAAUGAUAUUAAAUAUUAUUGCAAUUUCUUGCAUAUAAAUUCAUUGUACUUCUUGUAACUUGCUGAAUUGGAAACCGUUGACGUAAACAAAAUUUGUAAAUUAAUACAUAUAUUUAUUGAUUUUUAGCUUAGGGUUUUCGGAGAAAACCCGAGGUAUUGUCAUAGCCAGCUCGUCGUGUCGUCCGACGUUCACGUCGUGCUAAAACCUUAACAUUUGCUCUAAAAUCAAAGUGCUUCCGCCUACAACUUUGAAACUUCAUAUGUAGAUGCACCUUUAUGAGUUCUACACGCCACACCCAUUUUGGGGUCACUAGGUCAAAGAAAAACAAAUUCUGACAAGCUUUAAUUUAUUCAAAACUGCACUCGUAGCCGGGCGUGGCACCCGUUAUGCGGUGCUCUUGUUUUUCUCCCUCUACUUCAAACUAAAGACCUUGUAGAUGCCAGCAGAUCACUGUUAUGAGUGUUUUUGUCUUGUGUUUUGUUUUAUUUCCAUUAUUGCUUUAUAUGUUUUUAUACUGUUAUUAUUAGUUUGUUCAUAGACUCUGUUAAUUAGAAUACCUUUGUACUAUACUGACACGUAUUAUGUUUAAAUUAAACGUAGUAAUUUGUACACAUCUUAUUUUGUUAUAAAGUGUAAAAAAACGUCUAAUUUGAUUGUAAUUACUGGAGUGCUUUUACCAAAGAUAUAUCAAUAAACAAAGAUUAAUCAA